rnacentral:rRNA from 1 species
AGUAACAACGUGAGUAACCUGCCCUUCACUCUGGGAUAACGUCGGGAAACCGGUGCUAAUACUGGAUAUGACCUACUCGGGCAUCCGAUGUGGGUGGAAAGAUUUAUUGGUGGGGGAUGGACUCGCGGCCUAUCAGCUUGUUGGUGAGGUAAUGGCUUACCAAGGCGACGACGGGUAGCCGGCCUGAGAGGGCGAUCGGCCACACUGGGACUGAGACACGGCCCAG